rnacentral:lncRNA from 15 species
UUAAUACACUCCCUUUGACCAAAAUCUGCAUGUAACCUCUUUGCACAUCAGCCAUGCCCCUCCACAAUCACAUCGUGAAAGAGGCGUGGACACAGGACAGGAUUCAAGAGGAUGAGGAUUCUGCUUCAGUCCCUCAAGUUCAAAAAAUCCAUAGAAGCCAAAGAAGAAGAAAGAGGAGGCAAAUGGCACAACGGAAGCCAAGUUGAAUGGAAAAGAAACCAAGCCCAAAAAAACAAAGACCAAGAAAAGUGAAGAUUUAUCAGAAGAGGAAAAUCCUGCCAUCCAAAGUGAGAAACUUUAUAGAGACUUGUGAUAUUUUAAGCAUUUCCUGUGAAGAAAGCAGAUGACAAAGUGUAACAUUUGCAUGCUUCUCUGUCUCUACUGUGAUCUAAUGAGAUGGUUACACUGACAAUUCCUUAUCAACAUUACAGAUGGAAAGAAGGUGAAGAAAAAGAAACCAGAAAAAGAUAAAGAAGAACCAGAAAAGGAAAAAGAAAAAGAGAAAGAGCCAAAAAAGAAAGCCAAAAGUGCUCCAAAAAAGAAGAAAGGUGCGUCAUUGGUCAUGUGUUUAAACCUUUAAGACUUAACGUGAAUUAAAUUACACACCAAUAAUAUCUUAAUUAAGUAUUUUGUAAAUAAACCCUGAAAAAAAGCAAACUAAUGAGUAUGUUUUCCAUCUUUUUAGGUUCGGGCACAGAUGAUGACGAUGAUGAUGACGAUGAUGAAGACACCCUCAAAAAGAAGACUAAGAAAAAGACAACAAAAGACAGUUCUCCGUCUGAAAGUUCUGCCAAAGAAAAGAAAUCUAAAUCUAAAGAGGACAAAGACUCUGAUGGCAAAGAAAAAAAGUCCAAAUCAAAGGAUAAGGACAAGAAGAAAGAACCAGCCUCAAUGUUCCAGAUAAAUGGAGAAAAAGAAUCAAAGAGCAAGAAGAAAGCUGCCAAAUCAGACAGUGAUGAGAGUGAAGAGGAGACGAAGUCAACCAAAUCAAAAAAGAAAUCCACGGCUGGCUCAGCAUCCAUGUUCCAAAUAGACAAGGACAAGGACAAAGACAAGGACAAAGACAAGGGCAAAGACAAAGACAAAGACAAGGGCAAAGACAAGAAGACGAAGAAGAAAGGCAGGUUUACCACUACCUUGUCUUCCUUUUGA